UUAUAUGGCUGAGUGGUAAAGCGCUUGGCUUCAUAAUCAAGCGUCUCGGGCUCGAAUCUCGGUAAAA
rnacentral:tRNA from 1 species